UGCAGCGAAGAAGAGCGCAGCGAAGUGCGAAAAGGGCGGGAAGCGCAA
rnacentral:rRNA from 3 species